GACGAACGCUGGCGGCGUGCCUAAUACAUGCAAGUCGAGCGAAGUUUUUCUGGUGCUUGCACUAGAAAAACUUAGCGGCGAACGGGUGAGUAACACGUAAAGAACCUGCCUCAUAGACUGGGACAACUAUUGGAAACGAUAGCUAAUACCGGAUAACAGCCUUAACUGCAUGGUUGAUGUUUGAAAGUUGGUUAUGCUAACACUAUGAGAUGGCUUUGCGGUGCAUUAGCUAGUUGGUGGGGUAAAGGCCCACCAAGGCGACGAUGCAUAGCCGACCUGAGAGGGUGAUCGGCCACACUGGGACUGAGACACGGCCCAGACUCCUACGGGAGGCAGCAGUAGGGAAUCUUCCGCAAUGAGCGAAAGCCUGACGGAGCAACGCCGCGUGAGUGAAGAAGGAUUUCGGUUCGUAAAGCUCUGUUGUUAGGGAAGAAUGGAUAUGUAGUAACUAUACAUGUACGAGACGGUACCUAACCAGAAAGCCACGGC
rnacentral:rRNA from 1 species